CCAGGGCCCUCACAGCAUCACUGUUGCUAUGGGAACAGAGGUCUCCAUGCACUGUGCUGUCCGUGGCUUCCCUGUUCCCAUGGUGCACUGGUUCAAAGACGGCUGCCUCCUGUCGAACUGCUCGGCCUCGUUCAGCCUCCAGAACAAUGGACAGCUGCUCACAUUCAGGAACGUGAGCAGAGAGUACGAAGGCUCGUAUCACUGUGAAGCAUCCAACCACAAUGAGUCCAUCAGGUCGCAGCCGGCCUUCCUACUUCCAGCCGAGAUGGACUGGAGUUUCGUCCAGCAGCCGGUAAACCUGACGGUGAAUAGGGGAGACAAUGUUACAGUCACCUGCAGACCUCCAUACAGCAGACCAGCAGCACAGGUGUCCUGGUUCAAAAACAACCAACUUCUCUCUCCCACAGCUCAUCACACUGUGCUGCCCAGUGGAGACCUCUUCUUCCACAGGUAUACAGUAUAUAUAUAUGUAUUUAUGUUUGGUUUGUUUUAGUACAUUGGUGUACUGUAGUUUAGAAAGUGACAAUAUGCAAUAUUCCUGCUACUAACAGCCUAC
rnacentral:lncRNA from 1 species